GCCUUCGUGGUGUAAUAGUCAGCACGCUCGGCGCGUUAACGAGAAGUCCUUGGUUCGAGUCCCGGCGAGAGCA
rnacentral:tRNA from 1 species